CUGAUUCUCAAGAUGCCAGGAGCGACCUAAGCAGAUUCCUGGAGCUAGAUUACAGCUGCAAAUUGGGUUUCGUGAUUGCAGACGUGGAGGUAGCAAAGGGACAAUGGUUAUAAAUGAAGAGAACAAGAGUGAGACCAGCUGGUGAUUGGCAUCUUUAAUUGCAUCUUCUGAAUUAAUCAC
rnacentral:lncRNA from 1 species